AUGUCUCUCUACAGUCAGAGGUUUUUGUACGACGGCUCAAUGAGUUUGUAUCACUGUGGUACACGUUCGGUGGAGGAACCAGACUGGAGUUUGGAAUCAGAGGUUUUUGUACGGCGCCUCAGUGAGUUUGUAUCACUGUGGUGGACUUUUGGUGGAGGAACCAGACUGGAGCUUGGAAGUGAUACCCGCCCCACCCUGACAGUGCUUCCCCCCUCUAUUGUGGAGCUGCAGCAGCAGCAGGUUACCCUCAUGUGUCUGGCCAACAAGGGCUUCCCCUCAGACUGGACUCUGUCCUGGAAGCUGGACGGCAGCAGCAGCAGCAGCUGGGAGCAGAGCAGGAGCUCCGGGGUGCUGCAGAAUGACGGCCUCUACAGCUGGAGCAGCACCCUGAGGCUCCCUGCAGACCAGUGGAGGAAGGUGGGCUCUGUGACCUGUGAGGCCUCCCAGGGCUCCCAGUCUGCAGUCACAGAGACACUGAGGAGAGACCAGUGUUCCCAGUCCUGAGCUGGUUCUUCUUAUUUGCUUUUUAAUUGUUUUUACAGUUUUAUUACAUUACCACUCUUGGUCUUCUCUCUGUAGAAACAAAAUGUUUCUCCAGUUUGACUCUGAAAAUGUUUCUUUCUUUUUAAUAAACUCUGGUUUCUUUAAACAA